rnacentral:rRNA from 1 species
GGAGGGUGCAAGCGUUAUCCGGAUUCACUGGGUUUAAAGGGUGCGUAGGUGGGUUGGUAAGUCAGUGGUGAAAUCCCCGAGCUUAACUUGGGAACUGCCAUUGAUACUAUCAGUCUUGAAUACCGUGGAGGUCGGCGGAAUAUGUCAUGUAGCGGUGAAAUGCUUAGAUAUGACAUAGAACACCAAUUGCGAAGGCAGCUGACUACGCGAGUAUUGACACUGAGGCACGAAAGCGUGGGGAUCAAACAGGAUUAGAUACCCUGGUAGUCCACGCCCUAAACUAUGGAUACUCGACAUACGCGAUACACUGUGUGUGUCUGAGCGAAAGCAUUAAGUAUCCCACCUGGGAAGUACGAUCGCAAGAUUG